rnacentral:rRNA from 1 species
AACGAACGCUGGCGGCAUGCCUAACACAUGCAAGUCGAACGCCUGUAGCAAUACAGGAGUGGCGCACGGGUGAGUAACGCGUGGGAACCUGCCCUGGAGUGGGGGAGUAACCGAGAGAAAUUUCGGCUAAUACCGCAUACGUCCUGAGGGAGAAAGAUUUAUCGCUCUAGGAGGGGCCCGCGUCGGAUUAGCUAGUUGGUGGGGUAACGGCCUACCAAGGCAACGAUCCGUAGCCGGCCNGAGAGGGCGGUCGGCCACACUGACACUGACAUACGGGUCAGACUCCUACGGGAGGCAGCAGUCGGGAAUUUUGGGCAAUGGGCGAAAGCCUGACCCAGCAACGCCGCGUGAAGGAUAGAAACUCCCUCGGGACGUAAACUUCGCAAGAACGGGAAGAAUAAGUAGAAGCGAAUACCUUCUAUGAU